GGUCGGUUAGCUCAGUUGGUUAGAGCGUGGUGCUAAUAUGUAUGUCAUGUAACGCCAAGGUCGCGGGUUCGACCCCCGUACUGACCA